CUGACCAUCACUGGGAGGAACCUGCUCACGGGACGCCCCUCUGACAUCACUGUCACCGUGGGAGGAGUACAAUGUGUCAUUUUAUCAGAGGCCCAGGAUGACAGUGUGGUGUGUGUGACGGGCAGCAGCAACAGGACGGGUGAUCACCGCGUGACGCUUCACUAUGGCAACAGCCAGCGCCACCUUCACGAGUCAGCCUACAGCUUCACCCCCAACCCCAACAUCACCCAGGCCGCGCCCGCCAAGAGCUUCCUCAGCGGUGGCCGUCUGAUCUUCGUGUCGGGUCACAACCUGGAUGUGGUACAGCAACCUAACAUGUUGGUCACUGUUUUCCC